UAUGAGAAACUUGAAUGGUUUUUCAUUGGAAAUUAAAUUUUAAAAUCUGAUAACAAACAGAUUUAUUAAAUUUCAAAUAUGAAUAAAUAAUUGGUAACAUUUUUCUAUAUAAUUCAUAAUCAAUUAGAGUAAAAAGGCAGUAUUUUCAGAACAAAUGCUCGAUAAGAAGAAGAAGAAAAAAGAAUGAAAUAGAUAUUGCUUCUUCUUCUAUCACUCCCCACUCCCUCACUAAUUUAAUGUUAAUUUCAGAAAAUAUUUGUGACCGCGCGCAAUGCGGUUAAUAGAAUCAGUGUCUGCUUCGUCAUAGUAUUUUGAAUAUUUUUUAGAGCGUAAUAGCUCUGAUUAAAUUUAAAUUAGAAUAAUCAAACGCGAAGGUAGAAUCAGUGUUUGUUCGCCGAUUAUAAUUUAUACGGACGCGUUACUAGUUUCUUAUUUUUUAUUUUUUUUUUAAAUAUUCGUUUUCGGUACAGAGUAGAGUCAGUGCUUCUCUCAUGAAAAUACGGCGAUCAUCCACCACGCGAAGAGAUGCUGAUGAUCUUUAUGAAAAUUUUUGGACUUGGACUUUAAUCUUAAAAAGAUAUUUGUGACCACGCGCAAUGUGGUUAGUAGAAUCAGUGUUUGUUUCGUCAUAGUAUUUUGAAUAUUUCUUAGAGCACAAUAGCUCUGAUUGAAUUUUAACUAGAAUAAUCAAACGCGAAGAUAGAAUCAGUGUUUGUUCGCCGAUUAUAAUUUAUACGGACGCGUUAUUAGUUUUUUAUUUUUUAUUAUUUUUACUUUUUUUAAAUAUUCGUUUUCGGUACAGGAUAGAGUCAGUUCUUCUCUCAAGAGAAUAAGGCGCUCAUCCAUCACGCGAAGAGAUUUCUUCCAUCCUUCUACCUGGUGAGAUUCUUCUUCCGGAUGACUUCUGGGUUACAAUAAUAGUGAAGGCAUUCGUCGCAUCAUAUGGUGAG